rnacentral:rRNA from 1 species
GUAGGGAAUAUUGGGCAAUGGAUGCAAGUCUGACCCAGCCAUCCCGCGUGCCGGAAGAAGGCCCUCAGGGUUGUAAACGGCUUUUGACGGUGAAGAAUCGACAGGAUGCGUCCUGUUUUGACGGUAGCCGUUGAAUAAGCACCGGCUAACUCCGUGCCAGCAGCCGCGGUAAUACGGAGGGUGCGAGCGUUGUCCGGAUUUAUUGGGUUUAAAGGGUGCGUAGGCUGGAAGGUCAGUCAGCGGUGAAAAGCUGUCGCUUAACGAUAGUCUUGCCGCAGAUACUUCCUUUCUUGGAUGAGGAGGGGGCCACUGGAACGGAUGGUGUAGCGGUGAAAUGCAUAGAUAUCACGCAGAACUCCGAUAGCGAAGGCAGCUUACUAAGUUAUAACAGACACUGAAGCACGAAAGCGUGGGUAUCAAACAGGAUUAGAAACCCCAGUAGUCC